CCUACGGGAGGCAGCAGUGGGGGAUAUUGCACAAUGGGGGGAACCCUGAUGCAGCGACGCCGCGUGGGUGAAGAAGCGCCUCGGCGCGUAAAGCCCUGUCAGCAGGGAAGAAAAUGACGGUACAUGAAGAAGAAGCCCCGGCUAACCACGUGCCAGCAGCCGCGGUAAUACGGAGGGGGCAAGCGUUAUCCGGAUUUACUGGGUGUAAAGGGGGCGCAGACGGCAGUGCAAGCCAGGAGUGAAAGCCCGGGGCCAAACCCCGGUACUGCCCUUGGAACUGCGUGGCUGGAGUGUAGAAGGGGCAGGCGGAAUUCCUGGUGUAGCGGUGAAAUGCGUAGAUAUCAGGAGGAACACCGGUGGCGAAGGCGGCCUGCUGGACUGCAACUGACGUUGAGGCCCGAAAGCGUGGGGAGCAAACAGGAUUAGAUACCCCUGUAGUC
rnacentral:rRNA from 1 species